GAUGAACGCUGGCGGCGUGCCUAAUACAUGCAAGUCGAGCGAACAGACGAGGCUCUUGCUCCUCUGACGUUAGCGGCGGACGGGUGAGUAACACGUGGAUAACCUAUCUAUAAGACUGGGAUAACUCCGGGAAACCGGCUCUAAUACCGGAUAAUAUAUUGAACGGCAUGGUUCAAUAGUGAAAGACGGUUUUGCUGUGACUUAUAGAUGGAUCCGCGCCGCAUUAGCUAGUUGGUAAGGUAACGGCUUACCAAGGCAACGAUGCGUAGCCGACCUGAGAGGGUGAUCGGCCACACUGGAACUGAGACACGGUCCAGACUCCUACGGGAGGCAGCAGUGGGGAAUCUUGCGCAAUGGGCGAAAGCCUGACGGAGCAACGCCGCGUGAGUGAUGAAGGUCUUCGGAUCGUAAAACUCUGUUAUUAGGGAAGAACAAAUGUGUAAGUAACUAUGCACGUCUUGACGGUACCUAAUCAGAAAGCCACGGCUAACUACGUG
rnacentral:rRNA from 1 species